UGGUGGAGUGAUUUGUCUGGUUAAUUUUGAUAACGAGCGAGACCUCAGCCUACUAAUUAGAUAUGGGAAUCUUCGGAUUCUUGGGGAAAUGUCUUCUUAGAGGGACUAUCGGUGCGUAGCCGAUGGAAGUUUGAGGCAAUAACA
rnacentral:rRNA from 1 species